rnacentral:misc_RNA from 1 species
UUAUUAUUAUUAUUAUUAUUAAUGAUGCUAGUACUAAAGAAAUGCAUAGUUUUGAGGACUGGGUGGUGGCAAAAGCACUAAAAACAUAUUUAUUAUAGUUUUAUGUCCUACUAAAGAAAUUUCUUUGGGGAAAUUCCAUUGAGAAUAUUAAAAGUGGAAGCAUAGAUGAGUCUUAACCAAGAUAUAUAUAUAUAUAUAUAUA